rnacentral:rRNA from 1 species
GAUGAACGCUGGCGGCGUGCUUAACACAUGCAAGUCGAACGAUGAAGCCCAGCUUGCUGGGUGGAUUAGUGGCGAACGGGUGAGUAACACGUGAGUAACCUGCCCUUAACUCUGGGAUAAGCCUGGGAAACUGGGUCUAAUACCGGAUAGGAGCGCCUACCGCAUGGUGGGUGUUGGAAAGAUUUAUCGGUUUUGGAUGGACUCGCGGCCUAUCAGCUUGUUGGUGAGGUAAUGGCUCACCAAGGCGACGACGGGUAGCCGGCCUGAGAGGGUGACCGGCCACACUGGGACUGAGACACGGCCCAGACUCCUACGGGAGGCAGCAGUGGGGAAUAUUGCACAAGGGGCGAAAGCCUGAUGCAGCGACGCCGCGUGAGGGAUGACGGCCUUCGGGUUGUAAACCUCUUUCAGUAGGGAAGAAGCGAAAGUGACGGUACCGGCAGAAGAAGCACCGGCUAACUACGU